AGAGAGAGACAUGCGCGCAUAUCAAUAAGCGGAGGAAAAGAAACCUAACAAGGAUUCCCCUAGUAACGGCGAGUGAAGCGGGAAGAGCUCAAAUUUGAAAUCUUAAAGGGUUUCCCUUUACGAAUUGUAGUUUAAAGAAGUGUUUUCUGUUGAGGUUUUGGUAAAAGUUCUUUGGAAUAGGACAUCAUAGAGGGUGAGAAUCCCGUAUUUGACCUUUACUUUCAACUUUGUGAUACAGCUUUCAAAGAGUCGGAUUGUUUGGGAAUGCAGUCCAAAAUGGGUGGUAAAUUUCAUCUAAAGCUAAAUAUUGGCGAGAGACCGAUAGCGAACAAGUACCGUGAGGGAAAGAUGAAAAGAACUUUGAAAAGAGAGUUAAACAGUACGUGAAAUUGUCAAAAGGGAAGCGUUUGACACCAGUGUUGUUUUUCUGAAAAUCAAUUAAAGAACUGUUUAUGCUAAGUUGUUUAGACUUUAUCAGCUAACUGUUUAGUUUUGAGCUUUUCUUUAAUGCACUUUUCAGUUAACAAGUCAACAUCAAUUUCUUUUGCUGUAAAAAAGCUUGAGGAAGGUGGCUUGAGAUUCGUCUUAAGUGUUUAUAGCCUCUUGCCUAUGCAGUCGGAGAGAUUGAGGUCUGCAGCGUAGAUCCUUCGGGGCUAAAUGCAUUUGUGCUAAGUUAUAGCAUUUUAUAGACAACUUGUUGACUAUGAUUUGUCUUGUAGCUUACUCGCUUAUGUUAUUUUACCUACGCUUAGGAUGUUGAGCGCAUGUCUCUCUCU
rnacentral:rRNA from 1 species